rnacentral:rRNA from 1 species
GGCGCACGGGUGCGUAACGCGUGGGAAUCUGCCCUUGGGUUCGGAAUAACAUCGGGAAACUGAUGCUAAUACCGGAUGAUGACGUAAGUCCAAAGAUUUAUCGCCCAGGGAUGAGCCCGCGUAGGAUUAGCUAGUUGGUGAGGUAAAGGCUCACCAAGGCGACGAUCCUUAGCUGGUCUGAGAGGAUGAUCAGCCACACUGGGACUGAGACACGGCCCAGACUCCUACGGGAGGCAGCAGUAGGGAAUAUUGGACAAUGGGCGAAAGCCUGAUCCAGCAAUGCCGCGUGAGUGAUGAAGGCCUUAGGGUUGUAAAGCUCUUUUACCCGGGAUGAAAAAACCCCUCCCGGGGAAAAAACCCCCGGUAAAUUCUUGCCCCAAAGCCGGGUUAAAAGGGGGGGGCCAAGGUUUUUUGGAAUUUUUGGGGUAAAAGCCCCUUGGGGGGGGAUUUUAUUUCAGGGGGAAACCCCGGGGUUUAACCCCGGAAAUCCCUUUGGAACUGGAUUGCUUGAACUUCGGGAGGGGAGGGGAAUUCCGAGGGUAGGGGGGAAAUUUGUAGAUUUUGGAAGAACCCCAGGGGGGAAGGCGGCUCACUGGACGAUUGUUGACGCUGAGGUGGAAAAGCGUGGGGAGCAAACCGGGUUAGAUACCCUGGUAGUCCACGCCGUAAACGAUGAUAACUAGCUGCUGGGGUGCAUGGCAUUUCAGUGGCGCAGCUAAC